rnacentral:rRNA from 1 species
UGGGGAAUUUUGGACAAUGGGCGAAAGCCUGAUCCAGCAAUGCCGCGUGUGUGAAGAAGGCCUUCGGGUUGUAAAGCACUUUUGUCCGGAAAGAAAUCCUUGGCUCUAAUACAGUCGGGGGAUGACGGUACCGGAAGAAUAAGCACCGGCUAACUACGUGCCAGCAGCCGCGGUAAUACGUAGGGUGCAAGCGUUAAUCGGAAUUACUGGGCGUAAAGCGUGCGCAGGCGGUUUGCUAAGACCGAUGUGAAAUCCCGGGCUCAACCUGGGAACUGCAUUGGUGACUGGCAGGCUAGAGUAUGGCAGAGGGGGGUAGAAUUCCACGUGUAGCAGUGAAAUGCGUAGAGAUGUGGAGGAAUACCGAUGGCGAAGGCAGCCCCUGGGCCAAUACUGACGCUCAUGCACGAAAGCGUGGGGGAGCAAACAGGAUUAGAUACCCUGGUAGUCCACGCCCUAAACGAUGUCAACUAGUUGUUGGGGAUUCAUUUCCUUAGUAACGUAGCUAACGCGUGAAGUUGACCGCCU